rnacentral:rRNA from 1 species
UAGGGAAUCUUCCGCAAUGGGCGAAAGCCUGACGGAGCAACGCCGCGUGAGUGAUGAAGGUCUUCGGAUCGUAAAACUCUGUUAUUAGGGAAGAACAAAUGUGUAAGUAACUAUGCACGUCUUGACGGUACCUAAUCAGAAAGCCACGGCUAACUACGUGCCAGCAGCCGCGGUAAUACGUAGGUGGCAAGCGUUAUCCGGAAUUAUUGGGCGUAAAGCGCGCGUAGGCGGUUUUUUAAGUCUGAUGUGAAAGCCCACGGCUCAACCGUGGAGGGUCAUUGGAAACUGGAAAACUUGAGUGCAGAAGAGGAAAGUGGAAUUCCGCGUGUAGCAGUGAAAUGCGUAGAUAUGCGGAGGAACACCGAUGGCGAAGGCAGCCUCCUGGGAUAACACUGACGCUCAUGCACGAAAGCGUGGGGAGCAAACAGG